GGAGACUGCCGGUGACAAACCGGAGGAAGUGGGGAUGACGUCAAGUCAUCAUGGCCCUUACGGCCUGGGCUACACACGUGCUACAAUGGUCGGUAUAAAGGGUUGCCAAGCCGCGAGGUGGAGCUAAUCCCAUAAAACCGAUCGUAGUCCGGAUCGCAGUCUGCAACUCGACUGCGUGAAGUCGGAAUCGCUAGUAAUCGUGAAUCAGAAUGUCACGGUGAAUACGUUCCCGGGCCUU
rnacentral:rRNA from 1 species